rnacentral:rRNA from 1 species
UAGGGAAUCUUCGGCAAUGGACGAAAGUCUGACCGAGCAACGCCGCGUGAGUGAAGAAGGUUUUCGGAUCGUAAAACUCUGUUGGUAGAGAAGAACGUUGGUGAGAGUGGAAAGCUCAUCAAGUGACGGUAACUACCCAGAAAGGGACGGCUAACUACGUGCCAGCAGCCGCGGUAAUACGUAGGUCCCGAGCGUUGUCCGGAUUUAUUGGGCGUAAAGCGAGCGCAGGUGGUUUAUUAAGUCUGGUGUAAAAGGCAGUGGCUCAACCAUUGUAUGCAUUGGAAACUGGUAGACUUGAGUGCAGGAGAGGAGAGUGGAAUUCCAUGUGUAGCGGUGAAAUGCGUAGAUAUAUGGAGGAACACCGGUGGCGAAAGCGGCUCUCUGGCCUGUAACUGACACUGAGGCUCGAAAGCGUGGGGAGCAAACAGGAUUAGAUACCCUGGUAGU